rnacentral:rRNA from 1 species
GUCCACGCCCUAAAACGAUGUCAACUGGUUGUUGGACGGCUUGCUGUUCAGUAACGUAGCUAACGCGUGAAGUUGACCGCCUGGGGAGUACGGCCGCAAGGUUGAAACUCAAAAGGAAUUGACGGGGACCCGCACAAGCGGUGGAUGAUGUGGUUUAAUUCGAUGCAACGCGAAAACCUUACCUACCCUUGACAUGCCUGGAAUCCCGCAGAGAUGUGGGAGUGCUCGAAAGAGAACCAGGACACAGGUGCUGCAUGGCCGUCGU